GUGAUCCACCUCUUUUCUUUUUUUUUUCUCCUUUCACUGGAAAUGAUGCAGCUUGUCGACAUCCACAUCUUUUUCCAGCUAAGGAGUGCAGAGAAGAAGAUACAUAAUAAAGCGUUGAUGAAUCAACAUGUGGUUGCAGGAACUGAGGGGAGAGAGAGGAGGGAUGACAUGCAACAGAGGUCCACAGCCGAACUUCAAUUGCAACACAAGUUUCAAUAGGGACCUCGCAGCAGUCGUUGCUCGGGCCCUAAAAAAUAAAGACAGUGGACUCACUUGCGAUCCUCUCCUCCAACGAUAACUAUACACUCUGAG